UCGGGGAUCGUCUAACGGCAGGACUCCAGAUUCUGGUUCUGGCUAUCUAGGUUCGAAUCCUAGUCCCCGAGCAA
rnacentral:tRNA from 1 species